CACGUAGGGGGCAAGCGUUGUCCGGAUUUAUUGGGCGUAAAGAGCUCGUAGGCGGUUUCGUAAGUCGGGUGUGAAAACUUCAGGCUCAACCUGGAGACGCCACCCGAUACUGCGAUGACUAGAGUCCGGUAGGGGAACACGGAAUUCCUGGUGUAGCGGUGAAAUGCGCAGAUAUCAGGAGGAACACCGAUGGCGAAGGCAGUGUUCUGGGCCAGUACUGACGCUGAGGAGCGAAAGCGUGGGUAGCAAACAGG
rnacentral:rRNA from 1 species